rnacentral:rRNA from 1 species
GACGAACGCUGGCGGCGUGCUUAACACAUGCAAGUCGAGCGGAGCGGCGAACGGGUGAGUAACGCGUGAGUAACUGCCCCCCUCUCUGGGAUAACAGUUGGAAACGGCUGCUAAUACCGGAUAGUGGGGGAUGACUCGCGUCCUAUCAGAUUGUUGGUGGGGUAGUGGCCUACCAAGGCGACGACGGGUAGCCGACCUGAGAGGGCGACCGGCCGCAUUGGGCUGCGAUACUGCCCGAACGCAUGCGGGAGGCAGCAGUGGGGAAUAUUGCUAACUGGGGGAAACCCUGAUGCAGCAACGCGCGUGCGGGAUGACGUCCUUCGUGUUGUAAACCGCUUUCAGCCAUUACGCGGUAGUGGCAGAAGAAGCACCGGCUAACUACGUGCCAGCAGCCGCGGUAAUUC